UGCAAGCUGCCCAAACAGCCAACAGCAACGUUUUGCUUGGAAGCUAAAAUCAAAGGAAUGCACAGGGCAGAGCGGAGACUGAACAGAAGUCAUGACAUCUUUAGAGAGCAAAUUAUAACCUACGGGAGAAUGGAAAACCUGGUGCCGUGAUGGCUGUAUCCUUUCAAAUGGGGUCUGGAAGAGAGCUGAUGGGAAGCCCUGCAUACCACGUCACUUUUUUCCACAUUUUGCUAAGUUAACGUGUGGGUUGGACAAUGCGCCAAAAGGCGGGAUGUUUGAAAAACAUUGGUUCACAAAAGGUUUUACUGCAUAUGCCCACGCAUACUGUCUACCUGGUCCCAAGCCAAAGCUGAGGACAAAAGCAAAGACACAGAUCAUACUGAGAUACAGUAUCCAUGGACUGACAUCCUGAGGAGACAAAAGAAUUAUCCAGCAUUUAGGAUCCCAUUACUCAUGCCCCCCCCCCCGCCCCAUACACACACACACACACACACACACACACACACACACACACACACACACACACACACACACAGUAGGUCUGCAAGAUUAUUGAUGGUUUGAGAUAUACACCUCUGAACUGCUGCACUACACUGUGAAAACACAGUAAGGUAUUUAUCACUAGUGAUCCUGACAAAUUAUAUAUAGUUCUCGCAAAAGAAAAAACAACAAAACACAAGUGGGGUUAUUAAUUAUACUCAAGGUCAAGGAGCUGGUCCUCCUUUCACCAGAGAGUUGUAAAGCUAUUCACAUGAAGCAUGUGAGACAGUCACAGCGUCAAGCAGAAGCACCAGAGGGCCAUCAGUGAGUAUCCCCCAAUGAUGAGUGUUCUCCUGCCCAGAGAUUCAAUCAGCAGACCCUGGAAGACACAACCAUAUACUUGACAUUCCUGCUGACAAACUGAGCAGACAUAACAUUCCUCCUGCUUGUGCACUGUCCUUUCUAUGCCCAUCAGGACCCCUGAGUUAAUACAUGGGGGCGGGCUAUACAUGGGAAUUCUUCUUCAUUCUUCUUUAAGAUUAAAGCAUGAUCUUUGCCUAUUGAACACUACAGUUAAUACGUGGUCAUGGGUAUAAAUGACCCUCCACCGGACAAACAUAAGCCUGAUCAAAUAUAAUCAAGUGGACCUAGACAGAUGGAAGCAGUGAAGAGUUCACAUAAUCCACUGCCAAGUGUCACAUAUGGUAUCUUAUUUUCUGGAAUUUCUGACACAGAGAACACGUAAUCUGCAUAAAAAUGUAUCUGGGGAAAUAAAAGCACAAUAAAAAGGAUGACAUUAGGAGCAGAGAUAUAAAGUAUGGUCCUACAAGCUGCAUCCACACACUCAUUCUUCAUCUGACUGCCAUUUUUAUGAUCAGUAUAUAUUUUAUUAACAUGACAGAUAAUGCCAUUGAGCUGCUGGAAAAAGUUUACAGUAGGAUAAUGAUUGUGAAGA